rnacentral:rRNA from 1 species
GAUGAACGCUAGCGAUAGGCCUAACACAUGCAAGUCGAGGGGCAUCACAUGAAGUAGCAAUACGGAUGGUGGCGACCGGCGCACGGGUGAGUAACACGUAUGCAACCUGCCUUCAACAAGGGGAUAACCCGUUGAAAGACGGACUAAUACCCUAUAACACAGGGGUCCCGCAUGGGGAUAUUUGUUAAAGGACAACCGGUUGAAGAUGGGCAUGCGUUCCAUUAGCUAGUUGGCGGGGUAAGGGCCCACCAAGGCAACGAUGGAUAGGGGAACUGAGAGGUUUAUCCCCCACACUGGUACUGAGACACGGACCAGACUCCUACGGGAGGCAGCAGUGAGGAAUAUUGGUCAAUGGGCGAGAGCCUGAACCAGCCAAGUCGCGUGCAGGAAGAAUGUCCUAUGGAUUGUAAACUGCUUUUGCAGGGGAAUAAAGUGAGCCACGUGUGGUUUUUUGUAUGUACUCUGCGAAUAAGGAUCGGCUAACUCCGUGCCAGCAGCCCG